GCCGGGGAUUUCCGCUCGCUGCCUGGUCCGCUCUCCCCGACGGCGCCGCGCUCUGCGGCAGCAGGACUGAGAGAAGGACACCUGGUUCAUGAGCUACUGGUCACACUGUGAGGUGGGGGUACUUAUCCCGGCGUCCCAUUAGGAAGGAUUCUGAAGUCAAAAGCUUUGUAGGCUCUCACACUUACUAUGGUGCUGGACUCCAAGGUGACCGGGUUUUGAAGAAACAAGUUUACAGGGGCAUUAGAAAGAAGAACUGAGCCUGAUGUGAAGAAAAAAGAUGGAGGACAAGUUGCCAGAUGGGCUUCGGGGGUUGUUGUGGUAUGAAACCUAAGAGGCCAAGUAUUAGGGAAAUGUAGUUCAAAAUGUAUAGAAAUGGGAUGAGUUUCUGUAGCUAAGUCAUUUUUGGUUUAAAACUAACGUAGUAGUUGGAUUGGAAUUUGGAUUGGAAUAAAUAAAAAAUAAUGAAGGAUUAGUAAGGUUGUUACCUCCAUUGGACCCAAGUCUUUAUUUUGUUUAAAAAAAAAUUAUUAUAGAUGUUCUUUAAACUUUAUUCCUGUUGACAUUAAUAAGGUCCUAUAAAUGUGCAUAUAUAUGGGGAAGUGGAGGAAGGGAUAAUAGAUGGGUAUUGGGGUCUUAAAUUGGGGUUUUAGAAUACCAGACUAAUACACCUGCUGCCCCCUGGUGGCAGCGUAUUAAAUAGUGAAGUUCAGAGGUGAGGAAUUCUGGAGAGCUGAGUUGGUUGUAUAAGAGGAUUAUAGGGGGAAUCAGGAGAUGUUUUCUCUUUCCAGCUCUGUUCAUAAUUACUAUCCAUAUGACCUUAGAUAAAUCAUUUAGUUUGAUUACCUUUUAUUUUAUAAGUUUCUUCCAGCUUUCACAUCUUACAAUUCUCUGAUGGUAAUAGCACAUAUUAUGUACUAAAAGAUGUGAAGUUCCACUUUUUCCAUUAGCAGCUGAAUCCUAACGUAUCCUAUAUAUUUAUUUAAGAAAGCAUACUCUAGAGUAACUCCUGAGGCACGAUACAGAUUCAGCUCUGGGCAGCAGACUGCAUAGGCUAUCUGUAGCACAGUCCAUAAUUAAUCAGUGUGACAAUCUUGCAUUAUUAUGAAAGCUCACAAGUUACAUCAUUUAAAAAAUAAUUUUUAUUGUGGUUAAAAAAAUAACAUAAACUUUACCAUCUUAACCAUUUUUAAGUAUACAGUUCAGUAGUGUUAAGUAUAUUCAGUGUUGUACAACAUACCUCCAAAACUGUUACUUCUUGUAAAACUGAAACUGUGUACCCAUUAGACAGCAACCCCCUACACUCCCCCUGCCCCUAGCAACUGCCAUGCUACUCUCUGUCUCUAUGAAUUUGACUAUUCUAGGUACCUCAUGUAAGUGGAAUCAUACAGUAUUUGUCUUUUUGUGACUCGUUUCUUUCAUUUAGCAUGAUGUUCCUAAGGCGAAUCCAAAUUGUAGCACGUGACAGGAUUUCUUUUCUUUAAGGCUGAAUAUUUGUAUGUAGAUACAUUUUACUUCUCCAUUCAUCUAUUGACAGACUCUUGGAUUACUUCCACUUCUUUGCUAUUGUGAAUAAUGCUGCAAUGAACCAAGGAUAUGCUGCAUUUUUAGUAUACAGUGUUUACUAAUGCAGAGAGGGUUUAUACAAUUUUUACAUGCAUGAAAGGUUAAAUUUCAUUAUAAAAACACCAUUCAACCAUGCUAAAUAACUAGGAUAUAGCUUUUUGUGUGGAUGAGUAAGUUAAAAAAGGAAUUAACAUUUAUCGAACAUACAAACUGUAUGUCAGGCACUUUUGUAUCUGUGAUCCAUUCUAUUGUUUAGUGUUUACAGUAAUUCUGUGAUUUACCCUUCUCUUGGGAGGGGACUAAUACUUAUUAAAAUCACUGUGUACCAGAAUUUUUAUAUACGUUAUCUCAUAUAAUCUUCAUACAUUAACCCUGAGGUGUGCUUUAGUAUCCCUGAUGUAACUGAGGUUCAGAGAGAUGAAACACCUUGAACAAGGUCACAUAGCUAAAAGGUAGCAGAGUUUUACCUGAGUACAAAGUGAAACAUGUCUGUUUCAGAUGUGUUCGACAUAUACCAUACUUUCUCCUGCUUUCAGAAAUAACACUAUACAUCUAUGAUCUGAAAGAUGUUGGAACAAUAUCAAGAUUACACUGCUAUAAUAAUUUAUAAAUAGAAACACUUCUGUAGUGCCUUUCCAUUAAAUAACAGUCCUUGGGUUUUCCUUGCAGAGAAACAGCAUUGAUUCAGAUGAAUUCAUCUGAAAUGUAUCAAGGCUUACCUCCUGGGGCAUUUUGCAAAAUAAACCUUCCUAGGACUUCCAAAAGAGUGGUUCUCUUGUGCCGGUCCCCCCAUUUCUGAGGUUAUCUUCCAUGUGUUAUUUUCCCCUUUUUCUUUCUCCCUUUCCUUUGAUGUGGCAGAUAGCUAGGACCGUUUUCACCACUUUCUGCUCCCACCUCUCUUGAACGCUAUGCUGCUUGGGUUUGGAGUUUUGAUCUGCUCCUUGCAUAGUGUUUUUUCACAGGUAAAGGGUUAUAAAAUGUCCUUAUAGGUGGUGGUUUUCUUGGAGAGUCAGUAAGCUCUUGGAAAGGCCCAUUGCAACAUGGGAUUUUUUGACUAACAGAGAUGUAGUGGUAUAUAGCAUCCGAGCAGCCACUUAAGCUUCUCUAAGAGUUCCUGUGCACUUAGGAUGACUUACAUUGGGAAUUUACAAACCUAGUGAUAGGUGAGGCUCAGGAAUGCUUCCAAGAUUCAUUCAAGGCCUUCGAUAAUUCCUGAAAGCAGGAUGUUAUGCAGUAAAUAAAGAAAAUGAGAGUGGCAGAAAUUGUGGUCACCACCAAAUGUCCAAUGUCUCCUUCCUUAGUUCCUGAUCUGCAGUUUUAUUCUGAGUGACCAUGUCCCUCAAGUUAUGGUAAAAAACAGGAAGGAGAAAUGUGUGAGACUUCUGCCAAGUUUUGCAAAGGAACCUGAGUCAGUGAGGUUGCUCCUGUUCCUCACCCUGCCCUACAUAGUUCCUACUACUUCGCAUGAAGAUAUUAUGGCCAGUGUAAUGCCAGCCAUCUUUUCUCCUAAGAGGACCUUAAGAAUGGAAGCCAUCUGUUAGCAGUGACACCAAGGAGCCUGGUGUGCUGGCUUACACAAAUGGCCACAAAUUCUUUCUAUUCUCUUGUGUGUGCACCUGUGCAGGGCACCUUUGCAGCCCCUCCCAUAAAGGGAAGAAGUCACCAUCUCCACCCCUAAACCUAGCACGGGGAGUCCCAGGCUGAGUGGGGUGAGUAGACUGCCCUUUUAGAGGGUUAUCUCAAUGUGGGCUGUCAGAGCCUGAGCGGCAAGAGGAGAGUUUAUGUGCAGGGAAGAUGGUUGUGACUGAAAUUGGAAAUUAGUUACAUAUGGGAGGAUUGAUCAUGUAAUUAACUGUACCAAAGAUCAUAUGAGCCAGCUAUGCCACUGUUGAAGGGAGUUGUCAGUACAGAAAUGUCAAGAACUAGGAUGAACCGUGUGGUGGUAUGGAUUGGGUCAGGUGUGUGAGUGUGAACUCAUGGUUUUCAAUACGUAUGGAUAUAAGUGUGUGUGUGUGUGUGUGUGUGUGUGUGUAUAGAUAGAUAUAGAUAUAUAGAUAUAGAUAUAUGUGUACAUAGUCUACUGAGGGAGCCUCUUGGGCAGAUAACACCGCAAGAACAAUAAGCACACCUCACACCCAGAUCUUGGCUUCUAAAUACCAACUAACAGCUGGAAACUAGGGCUCCUUGGAGAAAUGGCUGGUUCCAGGCCUGGGGCAGAGAAAGUCCAAGAUGAAUGUGGAACAUCUUGUGCCAGAAAGCAAGGAAAUGCAUUCUUAGGACUCAGUGACAGAAACAGUUCUGCCCACAAGGGAGGAUUACACAGGGGAGAUGAUGUUUGAAGUGACCUGGGAACCUUGAAGGAUGAGUAGGAUUUUGCCAGGCAGCAUGUUGAGGAAGGAAGAAGUUCCUUAGGGGCAAUGGCAGCCUUAUGAGCAAAGAGGGGGUCAGAUUAUACCUGCCACAGAGCAGUGUAAGGCAUGGCCUAGAUAUGGCUGAAGAGAAAGAUGCAGCUGGACACAUUGUCCUGCGUGAGCCACAUGCAGAAACUUAGGCUUGACCCUUUAGAAUUUGUUGUCUAGAGCUGCAUAACAAAUUAUCCUUAACAUCAGUGGCUGCAGACAACAUGCAUUAUCCCCCAUUUUCUGCAGGUGAGAAUCCGGGAGCUGCUUGGCUCGUGGCUCUAGCUCAGGGUCUUCAGCAGGCUGCAGACAGGGUGUGGGCUGGGGCUGUGGUCACCUCCCAGCUGACUGGAGGAGCAUCUGAGCUCACUCAUGUGACAGCCAGCAGGCCUUGGGGCCUUUCUGGCUGUCGGCAGAGACCUCAGCUCCUCUCCACAUGGGUGUCUCCUUAGGGAGUCUCACAGCAUGGCAGCUGGCUUCCCUGACAGCGAGGGGUCUGAGGGAAAGAGUGUACCAGAGAGCCCUCCAGACGGAAGGCACAGUCUAUUUAAAACCUAAUCUCAGAAGUAACAUCCCAUCACAUCCUCUGUAUUGUGUUCAUUUGAAUCAAGUCACUAAAGCUAGCCUUUGCACAAGGGGCACGAAUCACACAGGGACACUGUCAGUAGGGGAGAGGAUCAUUAGGGUCAUCUGAGGGGGCCCCUCAGAUG